rnacentral:rRNA from 1 species
GAUGAACGCUGGCGGCGUGCCUAAUACAUGCAAGUCGAGCGAACAGACGAGGAGCUUGCUCCUCUGACGUUAGCGGCGGACGGGUGAGUAACACGUGGAUAACCUACCUAUAAGACUGGGAUAACUUCGGGAAACCGGAGCUAAUACCGGAUAAUAUUUUGAACCGCAUGGUUCAAUAGUGAAAGACGGUGUUGCUGUCACUUAUCGAUGGAUCCGCGCUGCAUUAGCUAGUUGGUAAGGUAACGGCUUACCAAGGCAACGAUGCGUAGCCGACCUGAGAGGGUGAUCGGCCACACUGGAACUGAGACACGGUCCAGACUCCUACGGGAGGCAGCAGUAGGGAAUCUUCCGCAAUGGGCGAAAGCCUGACGGAGCAACGCCGCGUGAGUGAUGAAGGUCUUCGGAUCGUAAAACUCUGUUAUUAGGGAAGAACAAAUGUGUAAGUAACUGUGCACAUCUUGACGGUACCUAAUCAGAAAGCCACGGCUAACUACGUG